rnacentral:rRNA from 1 species
UCUGGUUGAUCCUGCCAGCAGUUAUACUCUGGCCUUGGAGAUUAAGCCAUGCAUGCGUGUGUUAAUAGCACUGUGAACAGCUCAUUAUAAAUCGUGUACAAAAUCGGGAGUUGCUGGGCGUAACCACAGUAACUCAGUGGCUAAAACCUUGAAUUGCUUCCUGUAAGCAGAAUCCUUGUGGGCACUCGAGAAGACACGAAAUCCAUCAGCUGUAUUGUCAGGUAGAGGCUGACGAUGCCUAUAACGGGUAACGGGGAAUUAGGGUUCGAUUCCGGAGAGGGAGCCUGAGAGAUGACUACCACAUCUAAGGAUGGCAGCAGGCGCGCAAAUUACCCACUCUUUAUCAAGGAGGUAGUCACUAGGCGUGGCGGGCACUCUGUGUGUCUUCGCAAUGAGUGGUACUUUAAAAGUGCCACUGCAUUAC